AAAGCUGGAACCGUGUUCGGUGAAGCUGAAGACCUACAGCGGUGAGCAGCUGCCAGUCAUGGGGCAGGCUGCAGUGAACGUUCAGUACGGCGGACAGGCUCAGCGACUACCUCUCAUCGUAGUCGAAGGUGGCGGGCCCUGGCUGUUCGGCAGGAACUGGCUGGGACACAUCAGGCUCGACUGGCCCUCCAUCUGUUGAGUGACUGCGGAGACCCGUGUGCAGCCCAUCCUGGACGAGUUCGCUGACGUUUCAAGGAGGAGUUGGGCUGCUAUCGAGGCGGGGAAGUCGGCAUCGACGUAGACCCGGACGUCCAGCCUCGUUUCUUCAAGCCUCGCACCGUACCGCUGGCCUUCAGGGAAGCUGUGGACGCCGAGCUGGAGGACCAGAUCCGUGGCGGACUCUGGGAACAGAGUGACACCGAUACCUGCUCCUGAUCCGGUCACGGAGAGCGCCGCUGCAUCUGCACGGCAUGCUCCCGUUCCCGGACAACUGGCCUCCACUCCCGACCGGCUGCCGGCUCCUGAUCGAGCGCCUGCUCCUGGCCGGCCGCCUGUUCCGGCGCCGCCCGGGCUGACCGGAGCGGUGCCCGCGCCGGGUGUGACCACCGUCCCGCCGUCCGCACCCUCUCCCAGCGCGCCGCGGUACCGGCUGAGAGACCGGUCCACCCUGCGGCCCCCAGACCGAUACGUGGCGAGCUAUGAGUAGGCGUUUUGUUUCAGUUGUUAUUUGUUCUGUGAGGUGCAUAUUUAUUUGUUUGUCCAUGCUGUGCAAGUAUUCGGGGUGGAGGAGUGUCAUGGAGCUGAGCUGGCGGCCGCCGCGCCGGUGCACGCGUACUUGCGCUCGUGACAUGCGCUCAUGACACUCGUAUGUGAACCGUGGUGGCGUUGCCUCUGUGACCCGGGGGCUACCUGGCCGGCUCGAAUACAGUUUGGACCGAGA